rnacentral:lncRNA from 1 species
UGGCUUUAUUUUUUUAUGCCGUUCUUCAGCUGUCUUUCCCUUAUCACCCGCCCCACACUUGCACGUGUCUCCACCUGGCGACCCAGCCGUCUCAAGCAGCCCGCCUCUGCACUCACUAGGAGAGUCCCCGGCGCGCGCAGGCCCCACCCUCUUCGCCUCAGGGCUUCGUCUUGCUUCAGAGCCGAAGGGGGCGCGCGUGAAGUCUCAUGGGAGUUGUAGUUUUUCCCGGCUCCCCGAGUUCUGUACACCCGUUGCCUUCCCUUCCCUCAGAGAAAGCACCAGCCCUUGGCUGUUGUUCCCUGACGCUUCUUAUGUUGUGCAGUGCUGGUCUCCUGCUUUAAGGUGGUGACCUAAGAAAGCACAAGGCACAGAGCCAUGGUUGACCUGCACCGGUUUACACUGCCUGAAGACCAGAACCCAAGACUCCUGACUUCCAACCUAGACCUGCUGCUAGCAGCAAAUGAUGCUUCAGCCAGUCCCAGGAUCUCCGAGGAUCUGCCGAGGGCUGGUCACAGUGAAGGAGAAUGUGCACGGCAGUUCUGCAGAGCCUGCAGCUUUGGUUGAGCGGGACUGACUGCUGGAAUGUUAUUUCCGCGACAUAGAAGAGAAGCUGACAAGUGUCAUUCUCCUGCUGAUGACAGAAACAGCGACCAGCCUCUCAGGGACUCGGUAGCAGCCACUUUUAUCCAAGCUCUUUUCCCUAGCGGAGGUCACACAAUGUGUGUCACACAAUGAACACGUUCAGAUGAGCUCCCUCACACACUUGCAAAGAUCUACUGCAGUAUUUCCAAGGUGCUUCAAACCACCCACUUCAAGAGUCAUCAAGAUAUUUGGAAGACAAGCAACGAAUGUGUGUCUUUACUGGAG